rnacentral:rRNA from 1 species
AGCAGUAGGGAUCUUCCACAAUGGACGCAAGUCUGAUGGAGCAACGCCGCGUGAGUGAAGAAGGGUUUCGGCUCGUAAAGCUCUGUUGUUAAAGAAGAACGUGGGUAAGAGUAACUGUUUACCCAGUGACGGUAUUUAACCAGAAAGCCACGGCUAACUACGUGCCAGCAGCCGCGGUAAUACGUAGGUGGCAAGCGUUAUCCGGAUUUAUUGGGCGUAAAGCGAGCGCAGGCGGUCUUUUAAGUCUAAUGUGAAAGCCUUCGGCUCAACCGAAGAAGUGCAUUGGAAACUGGGAGACUUGAGUGCAGAAGAGGACAGUGGAACUCCAUGUGUAGCGGUGAAAUGCGUAGAUAUAUGGAAGAACACCAGUGGCGAAGGCGGCUGUCUGGUCUGCAACUGACGCUGAGGCUCGAAAGCAUGGGUAGCGAACAGGAUUAGAUACCCUGGUAGUCCAUGCCGUAAACGAUGAUUACUAAGUGUUGGAGGGUUUCCGCCCUUCAGUGCUGCAGCUAACGCAUUAAGUAAUCCGCCUGGGGAGUACGACCGCAAGGUUGAAACUCAAAAGAAUUGACGGGGGCCCGCACAAGCGGUGGAGCAUGUGGUUUAAUUCGAAGCUACGCGAAGAACCUUACCAGGUCUUGACAUCUUCUGACAGUCUAAGAGAUUAGAGGUUCCCUUCGGGGACAGAAUGACAGGUGGUGCAUGGUUGUCGUCAGCUCGUGUCGUGAGAUGUUGGGUUAAGUCCCGCAACGAGCGCAACCCUUUAUUACUAGUUGCCAGCAUUAAGUUGCGGCACUCUAGUGAGACUGCCGGUGACAAACCGGAAGGAGGUGGGACGACUUCA